AAUCAUUGUGUGUGAAUAUUUCUGGCACAACCAUAUGCGAGAGCGUAUCACAGCAACAUGUUAAGAUUGAUGGAAUCAGAUUCUGGUGAUCUGGUUAAAAAGAUUUUACACAAGUAUUGAAGGUGUGUUGAUUGAGAGAAAAGCCAAGGUGAAAUAAUUAGGAGAUGGAUUGUUUUUGUGAACGUGGGGGAAAGCGUCAACAAGUUAAUGAUGCCCUUUUAAUGAUUUUAGAAUUAUGGAAUAUAUGCUGAAGAAGAUGGCGUUGAAUAAUGGGAAAGCAAAUUAGAUUGGGUCACAGUCAAAAUACUGGAAGAUAAGAAUAGUAGGCAUUUCGUGUGGCAUGAGAGGAGGAAGAAAGAGAUGAGUGGAUGAUGAGGUGGGUCACCAACCUUGGAGAUUCUUGCACUUAUUUUAAAAGCUAAUUUUGUUCCAGUGCUUCUAGAACCAACAAAAAACUAAGGUUGGAAGGUGAGGGUUACCAACCAUCUCCAUAAAGAAAUUAAAAAUUCACAUGGCCGGCUCA
rnacentral:lncRNA from 1 species